rnacentral:rRNA from 1 species
GACAGAGGGUGCAAACGUUGUUCGGAAUUACUGGGCGUAAAGCGUGUGUAGGCGGUCUCAUAAGUCGGAUGUGAAAGCCCCGGGCUCAACCCGGGAAGUGCAUUCGAAAACUGCGAGGCUAGAGUAUCGGAGAGGUUGGUGGAAUUCUCGGUGUAGAGGUGAAAUUCGUAGAUAUCGAGAGGAACACCGGUGGGCGAAGGCGGCCAACUGGACGAAAUACUGACGCUGAGACACGAAAAAGCGUGGGGGGAGCAAAAACAGGGAUUUAGAAAACCC